UAAGCUAUUUUUUUUUUUUUUUUUUUUUUUUUGGUAAAUUUAAUCUCUGUUCUAAUCUCCGUAGAGUGGUUUUUUCUUUUUGAUUUAUUUCUUUUAAGUCUAUUGGUUUCUGAUUCUGAUUAGAUCGGUAGAAGAGAUUUUAACUCUUUUUUUUGGUGGGAAAUUAUGAGAUAUAAAUAGCUAGUUAUAUGAAGUUAUAUUGUAGAAAUCUAUUUAAUUUGCUUAAUCAAGGUUUAGGGUUUGAACCAUCCCAAUUAACAUUAAUUUAAAUUUUGUUAUUUUAUUGUUUAAGAUAGCUUUCUUUGAAAAAAAGCAUUAGUUUGAUGGUUAAUCUAAACCCAAAACCUAAUUUUUUUUUUUUUACGUUUUCCGGAGGUUAUGUGAAGUUAGCUUCUUUUAAUCGUUAAUUACUCUCUUGAAAUUACCAAUUUGGGCUUAAUAGUGGGAGAUGGGGAGCUCCCUUUUUUAGCUUUCAAUUUAAUUCUUCCUCUUCUGCUAAUUUUCCUUUCUGGGAAACACAUUUCUAACUUAAAACCCCACGGAACGUCAAGACUUGGAAACACUAAUAUGAAAUUCUGAAAAAAAAAUUCAAUGUUCUUUCUUCUAAAAUUUGGUUUCACUCGACAAAAAUUAUGAGUAUUUGAAAGUUUGGUCUAUUUAGUGACUAAUUGUUGAAAAAUGUCAAUAAAAUUUUGUUAAGAAUCAAAAGGACGUCAAACUUUCAAUGGUAUAUUAAACAAAAAAAAAUCACCUAUAUUUAAUACAACAUUUGACUUCUAAGUUAUAGGUAUAUCAUAAAUUUAUAGAACACUUGUCACAAAGAUUAGUAAAUUCAAUGUUUAAAGUCUCGACAAAGAAUCCGAGGGCAUUUUUUGGGAAGAUUAGUAGAGCCAUCGGUCAACCAAGAGAGGACCAGCCCUUCUUGAUCGUUCAACGGUCAACCAAGAGAGGUUCAGCCCUUCCUGAUCAUUCAAUAUGGGUUGAACCAAUAAUUUUUCUCUAAAGUUCUGAAGGAUCUUUUAAACCUUAAUAGUUAAAAUUUUAAUUUUCCUUAAGAUAAUUGGAAGUCUAAUCUCUUUGAUAAAAAUAACCGGUUACUUUCUAAAAAAAGACUUCCAGAUACUUCUACAUUUAUCUUUAAAAAAUGUAAUCUACUUUGAAUAUUUAAAGCUACUUUUCCUAUCAUGUGAUUGAGGCCCGCCAUACCAGAUGUAGGAAACCCUACCCUAUCAACUAUCAUUAGCUAGCCACGUGAACUAGAGGUCAUUGGCCACCAUUGAGUUUCCUUCAAAAAGUCCUGAAGAUAUUUUCCCCUAAUGUUUUGUGGUUUAACUAUAAUGUUAUGAUCAGUCUUAGGAAUAGGAACAAAUCAAUGUAGUACCCGGGAGCAGAGGUGUAAAGGAAAUUAAACAGGUUGGCAAGUUAAGAAUAAAGAACAAACAAGAACACAUUCUUAAAAAGAUUCACAUGUGUUGUGUUUGAAACAUAUAAAGAAUACAGAGCUAAUAAUUGUCAGUGAACCCUAUUGUUCUAUCAGUAUGCCCCAAUAAUAAUAGUUAAUAACUACUGCAUGUACCGUUGUUCAAUACUUCAACCACAGGAACAAAGUUGCAUGUUGCUUAACUCUGCAAUCAGAAUGUUUGUUAGUGGUUUUCUUUUUAAAGGAAUGGUUGUUAGUGA